rnacentral:tRNA from 1 species
CUCGGGAGCGGCGUGGACGCGGCCGGGGUUGGUGACUCCGGAGCCGCCGUACUGUGCGGCGUCCGUGUUGAGCACCUCGGUCCAGUGGCC